rnacentral:rRNA from 1 species
AGUGAACGCUGGCGGUAGGCCUAACACAUGCAAGUCGAACGGCAGCACAGUAAGAGCUUGCUCUUACGGGUGGCGAGUGGCGGACGGGUGAGGAAUACAUCGGAAUCUACUUUUUCGUGGGGGAUAACGUAGGGAAACUUAUGCUAAUACCGCAUACGACCUACGGGUGAAAGCAGGGGAUCUUCGGACCUUGCGCGAUUGAAUGAGCCGAUGUCGGAUUAGCUAGUUGGCGGGGUAAAGGCCCACCAAGGCGACGAUCCGUAGCUGGUCUGAGAGGAUGAUCAGCCACACUGGAACUGAGACACGGUCCAGACUCCUACGGGAGGCAGCAGUGGGGAAUAUUGGACAAUGGGCGCAAGCCUGAUCCAGCCAUACCGCGUGGGCGAAGAAGGCCUUCGGGUUGUAAAGCCCUUUUGUUGGGAAAGAAAAGCAGCAGGUUAAUACCCCGCUGUUCUGACGGUACCCAAAGAAUAAGCACCGGCUAACUUCGUG